rnacentral:lncRNA from 1 species
CACCUAAGAAACCUUACGGAGAAUGCCACAAACCAGCUCCUUACCAUCCUCCUUACUACUACAAAUCGCCACCACCACCAUCUCCGGUUUACUACUACAAGUCACCACCACCACCGGCUCCAACCUAUGUCUACAAAUCUCCACCACCACCAACUCCGACUUACGUCUACAAGUCGCCGCCUCCUCCAACCCCAACAUAUGUCUACAAAUCGCCUCCUCCUCCUACCCCAACAUACGUAUACAAGUCUCCUCCACCACCAACUCCAACUUACGUAUACAAAUCACCACCACCGCCGACUCCAACUUACGUCUACAAGUCGCCUCCUCCACCUACGCCAACCUAUGUCUAUAAAUCUCCACCGCCACCAACCCCGACUUAUGUUUACAAGUCACCACCACCUCCGACUCCGACAUACAUUUACAAGUCUCCACCACCUCCUACUCCGACUUAUGUCUACAAGUCACCACCUCCACCAACCCCUACAUAUGUCUAUAAGUCACCACCUCCACCCACUCCGACCUACGUCUACAAGUCACCACCACCUCCAACUCACACUCCUACACCAUACUACUACCAUUCUCCACCACCACCAGUAAAAUCCCCUCCACCUCCUUAUUACUACCACUCACCACCACCACCGGUUAAAUCUCCACCACCACCAUACUACUAUCAUUCACCACCUCCUCUGGUGAAGUCUCCUCCACCACCAUACUAUUACCAUUCACCACCACCUCCAGUAAAAUCUCCUCCCCCCCCAUACUACUAUCACUCCCCACCUCCUCCAGUGAAGUCUCCUCCGCCACCUUACUAUUAUCACUCCCCACCUCCUCCAGUAAAAUCACCACCACCACCAUAUUAUUACCACUCUCCACCUCCUCCCGUGAAAUCCCCCCCACCUCCAUACUACUACCACUCACCACCCCCUCCGGUAAAAUCACCCCCACCACCAUAUUACUAUCACUCCCCACCUCCACCAGUGAAAUCCCCACCACCACCGUACUACUACCAUUCUCCACCCCCACCGGUAAAAUCUCCGCCACCACCAUACUAUUACCACUCCCCACCUCCUCCGGUGAAAUCUCUACCACCACCGUACUAUUACCAUUCACCACCUCCUCCGGUGAAAUCUCCUCCUCCACCAUACUACUAUCACUCACCUCCUCCACCAGUAAAAUCUCCUCCGCCACCGUACUAUUACCACUCUCCACCUCCUCCAGUGAAGUCGCCUCCACCUCCUUAUUACUACCACUCACCUCCUCCUCCGGUGAAAUCCCCACCACCACCAUAUUAUUACCACUCACCACCCCCACCCGUCAAAUCUCCUCCACCUCCAUAUUAUUACCACUCACCACCUCCUCCGGUGAAAUCUCCACCACCACCAUAUUAUUACCACUCACCUCCUCCUCCGGUGAAAUCUCCACCACCACCAUAUUACUACCAUUCACCUCCCCCUCCAGUCAAAUCUCCACCACCACCAUAUUACUACCAUUCACCUCCCCCUCCAGUGAAAUCCCCACCACCACCAUAUUACUACCAUUCACCACCUCCUCCAGUGAAAUCUCCACCACCACCAUACUACUACAACUCUCCACCACCACCAGUAAAAUCUCCCCCACCUCCCGUCUACAUCUACGCUUCUCCCCCACCUCCUACCCAUUACUAGGCUCGUCAAAUUCAACCAAGUUUCCCCAUUAUUCAAGUAAGUCCCAAGGCUCCAAUAUUCUAAGUAUGCUCCAUAUC